UACAGAGGCCCCAAGCGUUGUUCGGAUUUACUGGGCGUAAAGGGUGUGUAGGGGGUCGUGUAAGUUUGACGUGAAAUCCCGUUGCUCAACAACGGAACUGCGUCGAAUACUGCUCGGCUGGAGGUUCGGAGAUGAGGGCGGAAUUCUCGGUGUAGCGGUGAAAUGCGUAGAUAUCGAGAGGAACGCCGAUGGCGAAAGCAGCCCUCAAGACGAAAUCUGACCCUGAAACACGAAGGCCAGGGGAGCAAACGGG
rnacentral:rRNA from 1 species